AUGCUUACUUUAGCAGCACAUGUACUAACACUGGAACACUACAGAGAAGAUUAGUAUGGCCCCUGUGGAAGGAUGACACACAGAUUUGUGAAGCGUUCCAUAUUUUU
rnacentral:snRNA from 1 species